rnacentral:lncRNA from 1 species
CCCUGCUCAUUUGUACAUUACGGUAGUGUUUACAUCAUGAAGGCGAACAUUUAAGAAUGAAUUGUAUUCAACCCGCAGAUUCAGGCUCAGAAUUAUGAUCAACAUCUGUGUCAAUCUGCUUCUAUGCAUAGAGAAAAAACUCGACUCCCUGAACAUCUUUUAUGACUCAAGAUCCUAGAUCACAAAAACAAUUCAUCUUAUCAAAACUGAAAUGAGGACACCUCAAAAUUUAUCAAGAGAUGGAAAAAUAUCCACUAUAUACCAACGCAUCCAUUUUAAUUGCGUCUCCACAUAGAAACAGAAAAUAAAGAAGGCAGAAAACUCAAACCCAGCUCUGCUAUUUCUUAAGACUAAAGAAUAAUAACUGAUUCCCCCAAUGAUAACAACAGUGAAACAAGCCGGACUCCUGCCACACCAAGGCUUUUACCAAGGGAUGUCAGUGCCAGUGGAAGAACCCAAGCCUACUGGAGGGCCAUAAAUACGACUGCUGUUGCCAUUUUGCUUACCCAGACUUUUUAUACUAGCAAGGCUGUACUUUUUUGUGAAGUUCUAUCUCUGUUACAUCAAUUGAGGUUGAAACAUCCAGUGGCUUCACAUCAACAACCAGAAGGCUCAAACUGUAUCACUUGCUGCACUUUUAUUUCUGGGAGAUCCUCAUGGAAGGUAUGUAAAAAAUAGUAAAAUGUCCUGUCAUGAAAAUGCCAUCUAUUGUUUGGUUGAAGCUGAAACUGAUACAUUUGAUCAACUCGUAGAUAAAG